rnacentral:lncRNA from 1 species
GCAGAAUUGUCAAAUUUCAACAUGACUCCGUCUCCUCCUUCAUUUAAUUUCUUCAUUCCAAUUAAUUGUAGUUGGAAGCAUGUUGUCAUUCCAAACUUAUUUUUGCCGGGUGAAUGCACUAAAUGCUAAAGUCCAAUUUCUUAUUUCUUUGUUCACGCUUUCAUUUCCUAAUAUAUGAUUCUCAAAGACAUUCAUGAUGAAGGUGAAAUUAAUGAGUCUGACAGUGUUUAUUUUAAUCACCGUUUUGGGCAUGUUCUGUUCACCAGCCGAGUCCAUCCAUUUCAACACAGAAGACCUAUCAGAGGACAAACUAAGAAAUCUUAGAGAAGAGGAAAUACUGAAGGAAGCAAGUGAAAUACGGGCAAAGGCGAAGACUUAUUUAGACGCGCUGAGCAUUUUCGACUUGACCAGCAACCGGUCUUUCGGAAAUAGCUGCGCGCGCCUUGCAAAAUCUAUCAAGCCCAUAAUCUCGCCUGUGAAAGACUUUGAGCGGGAAUACAGCGCACCGCUCUUUGUUUACCCAAGCUGGAAACCAGAAAUAUUCCCAGAGGUAUAUUUUCGAUUUUUUCCAUUCGGGAGUAGCCCCAAGGAUGAGAAUGAUAUUGACGUGGUCAUCCGAAGGGAAGAUGGAACUCUUUUCGCAUUCAAAAGCUAUCUGUCGUUUGGUCAUGAGACUGCUGCCGGAAUUUUGUAUCGGAUCGGAACCAAGAAUGUGUCGGGGUGGUUCCUACGAGGACUCAAAAAGCCAAUUACGCACACGGUGGUUACAGGGAUCGAGUUUCUUCAAGACGCUAUCCGAUUUUCGUUCCUGAGGGAAAGACAGGAUCAAACGCAGCCUCUGGUUGUUGAAGUCGUAAGAACGAUCUGAUAUGAGAUUUAAGUUCAAGUUCCAGCGAAUCCGGUUUGCUUAGAGUGAGCCUGUUUUUCUUUGAAACCAUUGCGUCUGUUACGUUCUUAUUUGCGUUAAUGUUACCAUGAGGUUAAGAGUCGGUCCCUUAGUAAAUACUUUAAUUCUAAAUUGAAGAGAGCAAUGGGAAGUUUGAAUUGGCAAUGUUGUCAGUUGCGCUGGUCAUAGAAUCGUAUUUUGAUGCUUGAUAUUUGUAGAUCAGCAAAAAAUCAUUAGAUCUGCCUAAACAGUAGUCUUUCAACGUUCAAUAUUAAUCGAGAUAUCGCCCUUUGAAAAGACGGGUUUUUGACGUCAUCCACCGCGGUGGUGACACCCUUGUUUUCUUCCACCUUGCUUUCAUCAGUCAGGGAGACACACAUUUGCACUGGUUACUCGAUGUGAAACUCGGAUGAAAGCAAGGUGAAAGAAACCAAGAGUGUCACUAACACGGUGCAGGAUGACGUUAUAAACCGAAUAUUUCGAAGCACGAUGUCUCGGUCAAUAUGAAACGCAAAAAGUUGCUGUUAGGGCAGAUCUUAUUAUUUUUAAACUUAUCUACAAGAAUCAAGCAACAAAACACGAUUCUUUAUGACCAGCGCAACUGAUCCAUUGUUGGAAAAACAUUCCUGCAGCUCGAUUAUGUCGGCCUGACAUGACAAGACAUAGCCCUAUCUUUACCUCGUUGUAUAUAUCGCAAUGCGAUGUCUAAUCGGGCUGCUUUAAACUCUCAUUAUUUGGCUCGCUGGAGUGAAGAAAUUUUCAAUAUCACGGGGAGUGUUAGGAAUGCCGGUGGUUUCAGCAGGAAAUUCUCACUUUUGUCAAUUAUUAAACAUUAAUUGUAACUUCCAAUGCAGAGACCAGUUGAGGUUUUUUUUAUGUUGAACUUUUGAAGGAGGUCGCAAAUUAAUCGGAGCUAUAUCUGCGGUUAGGGCCGCUCGAACAAGCUGCAAGCGUGCUCUCGACGCUUGAUUAAGAAACGUGAAAAAAAAUCCUAACAGGAGUGAGCUUGCAAACUUCGCCUCUCCUGCUCUCAUUUUCCGCUUGCUUUUUUUCUCCCGAACUGACCACCAUUAGAAGAUUAAAAUCGAUACAGCUGCUCGACGCUCGCAAGGAGAAUGGGAACACGUCCAGCGGGUCGAUUGUUGAAUCGCUAUCGAAUGACCUUGAUCGAUAUAUACCAUUGUUAAGAUAGGGAGUUAUCGAUCGAUUUCAAUCGAUAACGAUUCAACAAUCGACCCGCAGGUUUUAAAAAAGGUCGAGCGAGAUCGCCAGAACCUGGGAUAACUAAUAUCAAACGUAGCUACUUGCAAUCAUAUCUCUUUAUUAGUUGAAAAGACGUUUUAUUGACGAUUGAUAUUAAGAUACACACUGGGAAAAAAAACACAUUGGAUCUAGAGUCCAGACUCUUAAAAACAUCGACAAGAAAAAAUACUCUUGAUUCAAUUGGAUUUUUGCUUCAAUCAAGAACCAAGCCUCUUAAGAGCGGAUUUCCUUUUGAUUUAAGCUUAAAUCUGAUUGAAUCAAGAGUAUUUUUUCUUGUCAAUGUUUUCAAGAGUCUGGACUCUAGAUCCAAUGUGUGUUUUUUUUCCAGUGCAGGAACAGACACAAUAAAAUUAAAACUAAGUGUAUUUCUUUUGUCACACUAGGUGACUUUAAAAUUUCCUAGGAAACGCACCCAGAUCCGUAGAAACGUUUUGCCUCACAACAAAACUGCACGAGAAAAAUUUGGAAGAAAUUUGGAAGAGCUUGUGUGUGAAAACAAACAAAUGCCGGGGACGUUUUGGGGUGGUUUCGACCUCCUUUUGAGCAGGAAAUAGAAAUAAAAGGUCUCCUUUUUCCUAUCACAAAUGGGGGCUAAGCUUUUUUGAUUUUGUUGUACUUUUAUUAAUGUUUCCCUCUCAAAAAGGUGGUUGAAACUACCGCGAAACGUUUCAGGUAUUUUUUUUCCUAGCCUUGAUUUCUAUUUUUAUUGUGUUUGUUUUCGUUAAAUUAUUCAGACCAUCUUCGUAUGCUUUUCUUUAGCAUCAAAUGUCCACUGAAAGUGUAACAUGAAUGGAAAUAUACAGAAUUAUGAUUAUUUCACCAUGAGUAAAAUUAUUUUCAAUCGCCAAGCCCGAAUCUUGAAUUCCCGUUUUUUUCAUACUUUUGUAAAUGAGAUUUGGUCUCAAGAGAGUUAAUAUGGGAUGUAAUGUAUUUGAAUGAAUCUAUAUAACUGCUUGAUUGCUUAACGAAGGAUUACCAAAUUCACUGAAACCGCCUCUGUUUCGUUGAAUAUACUAUUUGAAUUCCCGGGAGUAGAAAUAGAUGCUCAUGAUCAAAGCAUACUCCCGGCAAAAACCACUUAGACCAGCUUAGUAAGACAUUCCGGUAACGAUUUACCGCGGUUUCCCAUAGUUCCUUCAUUUCAUUGCGUAUGCAAUUUGAUUUACAGGGAGUUUAAAAAAUUGCUCACGGUCAAUUAUACUCUCGGCACUAGGCCCCUUGAAAGACGCACGACAUCUCGGCAACGAGUCGCUGCGGUCAAUCAAAGUUCCUUCAUUUCUUUGCGUAUGCAAUUUGAUCUCCAGGGAGUUUGAAUAGUUCCUCACGAUCAAAUUAUACAUACUCGGCAGACUCCUUAAACAAAAUCCGGAAAGUUGCUAACGGCCAAAUCAUAGCCCAGGCAGCGCCCUGCUUAAAGCAGAAUUUCUCACCGACUAAUAACUGCGCUGCGGUCACUCAAAAUUCCCUCAUUUCGUUUUAUAUGCAGUUUAAUUUCCUAAGAGUCAAAACACUUGCUCAAAGGCAAACUGCAAGGCAGUACCUAUCAUCAAUUAUUUAAUAUCACGGUUGCGGGAAAAAUGUACAAAAUCUUAAAUUACUGUGCAGUUGCAAUUACGAUUUUAUUAAACUUAAAAGAGCUGAGUAGUAAUGAUGAUCUAGAUAAAGCGAAUUAUCAAAGAAACAUGUUAACGCGGUUAUCAUUUCAAGAAUAAUUCCUUUUAAAUAAAUUGUUGGCAAUGGAAUUCUGCAUAAAAUUUUAAUAGCUGUAUUGAAUCUAAUUUUUGAAAUUUUUAAGUUUCCUCUAAUUCUAGAAAUCUUGUUUUCUGUUGCUUGUAACUCUUAAACAAUGACAAUAAAACUUGUGUGCAACCGAUGAGAAACCCUAAUUAU